UACGAACUGUGCAAACGUUAUUCGGAAUCACUGGGCUUAAAGGGUGCGUAGGCGGCUAUUUAAGUAGGGUGUGAAAGCCCCCGGCUCAACCGGGGAAUUGCGUCCCUAAACUGGGAUAGCUCGAGUGAGAUAGAGGUGUGCGGAACUUCCGGUGGAGCGGUGAAAUGUGUUGAUAUCGGAAGGAACGCCGGUGGCGAAAGCGG
rnacentral:rRNA from 1 species